UACGAGAGCCUCAGGCGUUAUCCGGAAUUAUUGGGCGUAAAGGGUGUGUAGGCGGUAAUGUUAGUCUCAUGUCAAAGCCUUCGGCCUAACCGAAGAUCCGCAUGGGAAACGGCAUAACUAGGAGGGUGCAAGAGGUGAAUGGAACUCACGGUGUAGGGGUGAAAUCCGUUGAUAUCGUGGGGAACGCCAAAAGCGAAGGCAAUUCACUGGUGCAUACCUGACGCUGAAACACGAAAGCCAGGGUAUCGAAUGGG
rnacentral:rRNA from 1 species